rnacentral:tRNA from 1 species
CUCCUUCCGGCAUGUGGUAACACUGGCGAGGAAGGAAAGCCGCGCGCGCACAGGUGCCGGGCCCCGGGAACCUAUUCGAUUUAGAAGAAACACACUGAUGGUUGCCCUGCGGACCCGUGCCUACACCGCCCGAGGGACCCCUCCCACCUCCGCUCCGGAGCCCAGAAGUUAGCUGUGGAGUUUGUUUGUCGCGCCCGCGCACCUACAGUGAGCAAGGAGAGCCGGCGCCCGCCGGCCCAGAGCUCUGUCCCGCUCUCUGCUCCUGCAGUUCCUUCGCUGCCGCCGAGAUCUCGGGGCGACAGUGAGCGGCGGCGGCGGCGGCGGCGCGAAACCCCGGCGGCAGUCUCCGAGUCUCUGUAGCCGGGUCGGGAAAGCGCCGCGCAGCCUGCGCAGAAGCAUCCUCGAGUAACUGGGGAAAAUGAGGACGGUAUUGUGAGCUUUGUAGGAACAGCAAAGAGAAGAGAGCACGCCUGCACCAGGAUGGCCGAGUGGUUAAGGCGUUGGACUUAAGAUCCAAUGGACAUAUGUCUGCGUGGGUUCGAACCCCACUCCUGGUCCAUUCAGUUAUCUGGAGUCGUAGAAAAAUAUUUUUCGAAAAACUCGGAACUCUGUGGGAAAUGAUAUCAGCAUAUUUAAAUUGUGACACCUACUGGUAAACUUGAGGCUGGAGAGAUGGCUCAGCAGUUAAGAGCACUGACUACUCUUCCUAAGGUCCUAAGUUCAAAUUCUAGCAAUCACAUGGUGGCUCACAACCACCCAUAACGAGAUCUGACGCCCUCUUCUGGUGAGUCUGAAGACAGCUACAGUGUACUUAUGUAUAAUAAUAAAUAAAUCUUAAAAAAAAAGAUUUCAUUUCAAAAACAGGAAUUUUGGAGGAAAACAUGGAUUGCAUUUUUCUGAUGUUUAUUGAAUUUCUUGUUUCACUUAACAGUCUUUAAAUGCCUAGUUUUCCAGUGGCAGCACCUUCAAAGGCAGAAUUGUGGGUAAUUCCUUAAAUAAUGUCUUGGGGGUUUUGUUGUUGUUGUUUUUUAAAGUAAUGUUUUGAAAUCUCACUUGAAAAGAAAAGAAAAAUAAACUCUGAGUUUUCAA